AACGAACGCUGGCGGCGUGGAUUAGGCAUGCAAGUCGAACGAGGAAGUGCCCCGUAAGGGGCGCAAGCCUAGUGGCGAAAGGGUGAGUAAUGCAUUGAUAACCUGCCUUUGAGAUGGGAAUAACUGCGUUUCGAGCAAUCGGAACUACCGAAAGGGCUGCUAAUACCCAAUAAUACUAUAGGUGCAAAAGCACUUGUGGUCAAAUGCUAGGAAUUCUGUUCCUUGUGCUUAAAGAGGGGUUAAUGUCCUAUCAGCUAGUUGGUGGGGUAAUGGCCUACCAAGGCAAAGACGGGUAGCCGGCUUGAGAGGGUGGUCGGCCACACUGGGACUGAGACACUGCCCAGACUCCUACGGGAGGCUGCAGUCGAGAAUCUUUCGCAAUGCCCGAAAGGGUGACGAAGCGACGCCGCGUGCGGGAAGAAGGCCUUCGGGUUGUAAACCGCUGUCGGGAAGAAAUCGCUCAAGCUAAUACCUUGGGUGGAUGACGGUACCGGAAGAAGAAGCACCGGCUAACUACGUGCCAGCAGCCGCGGUAAUACGUAGGGUGCGAGCGUUAAUCGGAAUUACUGGGCGUAAAGCGUGCGCAGGCGGUUUCGUAAGACAGAUGUGAAAUCCCCGGGCUUAACCUGGGAACUGCGUUUGUGACUGCGAGACUUGAGUGCGGCAGAGGGGGGUGGAAUUCCACGUGUAGCAGUGAAAUGCGUAGAGAUGUGGAGGAACACCGAUGGCGAAAGCAGCCCCCUGGGUCGACACUGACGCUCAUGCACGAAAGCGUGGGGAGCAAACAGGAUUAGAUACCCUGGUUAGUCCACGCCCUAAACGAUGCGAACUAGGUGUUGGGGAAGGAGAACUUCUUUAGUACCGUAGCUAACGCGUGAAGUUCGCCGCCUGGGGAGUACGGUCGCAAGAUUAAAACUCAAAGGAAUUGACGGGGACCCGCACAAGCGGUGGAUGAUGUGGAUUAAUUCGAUGCAACGCGAAAGAACCUUACCGGGGCUUGACAUGGUAGAAGUAGAAUCCUGAAAGGGUGACGAUCGGUAUCCAGUCCGAAGCUAUCACAGGUGUUGCAUGGCUGUCGUCAGCUCGUGUCGUGAGACGUUGGGUUAAGUCCCCUAACGAGCGAAACCCUUGUCUUUAGUUGCUAACGGGUAAUGCUGAGCACUUUAGAGAGACUGCCGUCGUUAAGACGGAGGAAGGUGGGGACGACGUCAAGUCAUCAUGGCCCUUAUGUCCCGGGCUGCACACGUGCUACAAUGGUCGGUACAAAGGGAUGCUAAGUCGCGAGAUGGUGCGAAACCUAUAAAGCCGAUCUCAGUUCAGAUUGGAGGCUGAAACUCGCCUCCAUGAAGUUGGAAUCGCUAGUAAUCGCGGAUCAGCUACGCCGCGGUGAAUAUGUUCCCGAGCCUUGUACACACCGCCCGUCAAGCCACCCAAGCAAGAUGCACCCAAAAUCGCCUGCCUAACCCGUAAGGGAGGGAAGUGCCUAAGGUGUGUUUUGUGAGGAGGACUA
rnacentral:rRNA from 1 species